rnacentral:tRNA from 1 species
GGAAGUGGAUUGGUCCUGGUGGGCCUCCUGGACUUCAAAUCCAGUGGCGGGCGCUAACAACGUCCGCGGUGGGUUCGAUUCCCAUGCACUUCCGCCA